UGCAGUCGACGGCAGCGCGGACUUCGGUCUGGCGGCGAGUGGCGGACGGGUGAGUAAUGUAUCGGAACGUGCCCAGUAGCGGGGGAUAACUACGCGAAAGCGUAGCUAAUACCGCAUACGCCCUACGGGGGAAAGGGGGGGAUCGCAAGACCUCUCACUAUUGGAGCGGCCGAUAUCGGAUUAGCUAGUUGGUGGGGUAAAGGCCUACCAAGGCGACGAUCCGUAGCUGGUUUGAGAGGACGACCAGCCACACUGGGACUGAGACACGGCCCAGACUCCUACGGGAGGCAGCAGUGGGGAAUUUUGGACAAUGGGGGCAACCCUGAUCCAGCCAUCCCGCGUGUGCGAUGAAGGCCUUCGGGUUGUAAAGCACUUUUGUCAGGGAAGAAACAGCACAGGUUAAUACCUUGUGCGAAUGACGGUACCUGAAGAAUAAGCACCGGCUAACUACGUGCCAGCAGCCGCGGUAAUACGUAGGGUGCAAGCGUUAAUCGGAAUUACUGGGCGUAAAGGGUGCGCAGGCGGUUUAUCAAGAAAGGUGUGAAAUCCCCGGGCUCAACCUGGGAAUGGCACUUUUAACUGAUAGGCUAGAGUAUGUCAGAGGGGGGUAGAAUUCCACGUGUAGCAGUGAAAUGCGUAGAGAUGUGGAGGAAUACCGAUGGCGAAGGCAGCCCCCUGGGAUAAUACUGACGCUCAUGCACG
rnacentral:rRNA from 1 species